CCCUGUCUGUCUCCUUAUAGGUGGGUCCUGCAGCCUCUCCUCUCCUCACACUCCAACCCUGCUCAUCUCUCAGCUGGACAGUAAGGGCCGUUCACACCACACACUGACAACAUGCUGGGGACACUCUGCACUCUCAUCACUGCUCUAACAUACUCUACCCUCCCUCCGCCUGUCUUGACCAUCUUCCCUCCGUCCAGCGAUGAGUUGAAGUCCAGCAAAGUCACCCUGGUGUGUCUGGCCAGUCAGAUGGCCAUGGGCUACGCUGAUGUCAGCUGGACAGCGGGAGGGAAUCCGGUCACCGGCGGCAUCGCUACGAGUGGCCCGGUGCCGCAAGCCGACAAGACGUUCCAACUCAGCAGCUGUCUGACCGUUGACACGUCAGAAUGGAACCAGGACAAAGUGUUCUCAUGUAAAGUCACCGCGGGCUCCAAGUUCGCUGAGAAAGGCAUCAAGAAGUCUGAAUGCAGCACUGAAUAGCCUGAGAACCAUUGUAAUGUCCAUUUGAUUUUCUACAUCACUUUUCAAGAUAUUGUUAAUGCAUUAGAAGUUUAACCUGCAUAUAUUCAUUAUGUUCCAU